rnacentral:tRNA from 1 species
CAAAGAAUAGUUAAAUGUUAGAAUGCCAGCUUUGGGGGCUAGAGGUGAGAGUUAGAAUCUC